UAGUUUUAAUCGGGGACUUCAGUGAUAGACAUUAACUUAAAAUAAAGUUUUUAAUUCAAAAACAAGUUUAUACUUAUUUAUAUAUAAUCAAGGCAAUUUAUGUAUAUAUAUUAUCAGAGCAAUACUUAAUAAUAAUACAUAAAUUGUAUUAAUUCUGUCAAAUUACAAUAUGACUUAUAAGUCAAUACAUAUGAUAUUUUUUAGUAUAAAACUACAGCUAUAUUUGAUAGACUAUUUUAUGUAUUUCCUCCACAAAUAAGUUGUGCUGCCUUUAUAAAGGGUCACUGUACAUUGUGUUACUAAAUGAAAACACAUUUUUGUUUUUAUCUCUACAAUCAUCUCAAAAAUCAUCCAUGAAUGCUAAAUAUUUUCGACAAAAGUCCCAGUUUUAGUUUUUUGAUCAUUUUCUAGUUUAGUGCAAAUAUGGUAUGUGCGUAAGUUAUUUCUCAUUGAAAGUAUAAUGUUUCGGUUCUGCCAAAAUCUCUUCACGUAGUAGUAGUGGCCUUAGAGCCAAUUAAAUUACUCUUUAUUAACAUUUCCUUUGUUUGAAAAUUACACUUUUUUAUUUUACAUCUAUGGCUAGAAAAACUUUUGGUAAAAUGUUCAUGAAGACAAGUAAAUGGUGUCAUUUAUUAACGCAAUGUCAUAAUGAUCCUGUAUGUCUUACAUAUUAUUGAUAUAUGUAUUUAUAUAUAUUGUGUUUGAAUAAUUUAUUAUUAUCCUAUAAUUGUUUUUCCAAAACACAAAGAUACCUAUAUAUAAUUUAUAAUACAAGCCAUACAUUUAUUGUCGUAUACAUACAUUUUUAUAUAUUCUAUUUAAAUGUAUACUACUGGAUUUUGUAAUAUUUUUACAGCCAAACAAAAUAAGUAUAAUACACUACACAAUAAUUGUUUUUACUUCCCGACUUAGUUGAGUUUUACCUAUAAUACAAAAUAUGUACCUAUAUUGUUACCUUCAGUUUAAGCUGAAAGACAGCGUAGACCCGAGUAUUUCAUAUAAAUAUCAAUUUGAUACCUCUACGCGUUGCUAAGGAAAAAGGUACUGCCAGACAAACAACAAAGUGAUCUUAUAAGUGUUCCUUCAGAGGUAUAGAAUCCUAAAAAUAUAUCAGGUAUACGUGUUAAGCUAAACAUAGCUUAGUUUUCUGCCUGCAACCCACUUUAAGCAUUAGCGUAAAGUUACAAAUAAUAAUUAUUACAUCCUCUAGUUAUUGGUUACUACUUUUCACAAAAUACUAAAUUAUAUUAUAUUUACAAUAUUUUAUACAGUUAAUCCAAGUCCCCACUGGCGAUGCUAUUGGCGGAAGAGUUGGCCGGGUUGGUCCAAAUGUUUGGCUGAUCAUUGGGUCCAGAGUACGUUGCCCUCGCCGGUAUAAUCGGUGACCUUACGCACACUCUGUAUAAAGAAUAGUUUGUUAAGGAACAAAAUGCUAUAAAAUUGUUAGUAUUCAUAAUAAAAUAUGAUUUUUGCGUCCCA